rnacentral:rRNA from 1 species
UACGAAGGGGGCUAGCGUUGCUCGGAAUCACUGGGCGUAAAGCGCACGUAGGCGGACUCUUAAGUCGGGGGUGAAAUCCUGGAGCUCAACUCCAGAACUGCCUUCGAUACUGGGAGUCUUGAGUUCGGGAGAGGUGAGUGGAACUGCGAGUGUAGAGGUGAAAUUCGUAGAUAUUCGCAAGAACACCAGUGGCGAAGGCGGCUCACUGGCCCGAUACUGACGCUGAGGUGCGAAAGCGUGGGAGCAAACAGG